UACGGGGGGGGCAAGCGUUGUUCGGAAUUACUGGGCGUAAAGGGCUCGUAGGCGGCCAACUAAGUCAGACGUGAAAUCCCCGGGCCUAACCUGGGAACUGCAUUUGUGACUGCAUAGCUAGAGUUUGUCAGAGGGGGGUGGAAUUCCACGUGUAGCAGUGAAAUGCGUAGAUAUGUGGAGGAACACCGAUGGCGAAGGCAGCCCCCUGGGAUGUGACUGACGCUCAUGUACGAAAGCGUGGGGAGCAAACAGG
rnacentral:rRNA from 1 species